UACGGAGGGUGCAAGCGUUAUCCGGAUUUACUGGGUUUAAAGGGUGUGUAGGCGGACUAUUAAGUCAGUGGUGAAAUCCCGAGGCUCAACCUCGGAACUGCCUUUGAUACUAUUAGUCUUGAAUGUUGUUGAGGUGGGCGGAACGGGUCAUGUAGCGGUGAAAUGCAUAGAUAUUCGCAAGAACACCAGUGGCGAAGGCGGCUUACUGGUCCGGUUCUGACGCUGAGGCGCGAAAGCGUGGGGAGCAAACAGG
rnacentral:rRNA from 1 species